UAAGAGUUAGUGGCGGACGGGUGAGUAACACGUUGGUACCUACCCCUAAGUGGGGAAUAACUGCCCGAAAGGGUAGCUAAUACCGCAUAAUCCCGCAAGGGUAAAGCAGUAAUGCGCUUAGGGAGGGGCCUGCGUCUGAUUAGCUAGUUGGUAGUGUAAUGGACUACCAAGGCGACGAUCAGUAGCUGGAUCGAGAGGUUGACCAGCCACACUGGGACUGAGAUACGGCCCAG
rnacentral:rRNA from 1 species